CUGCCCUACGGGAGGCAGCAGUGGGGGAUAUUGGACAAUGGGGGAAACCCUGAUCCAGCGACGCCGCGUGAGUGAAGAAGUAUUUCGGUAUGUAAAGCUCUGUCGGCAGGGAAGAAAGAAAUGACGGUACCUGACCAAGAAGCCCCGGCUAACUACGUGCCAGCAGCCGCGGUAAUACGUAGGGGGCAAGCGUUAUCCGGAUUUACUGGGUGUAAAGGGCGCGUAGGCGGGAUAGCAAGUCAGUCGUGAAAUGCCGAGGCUUAACCUCGGAGCUGCGAUUGAAAAUGUUAUUCUUGAGUAUCGGG
rnacentral:rRNA from 1 species